AUACGGAGGGUGCAAGCGUUACUCGGAAUCACUGGGCGUAAAGGAUGCGUAGGCGGAUAAUCAAGUCAAAAGUGAAAUCCCACGGCUUAACCGUGGAACUGCUUUCGAAACUGGUUAUCUAGAAUAUGGAAGAGGCAGUUGGAAUUAGUGGUGUAGGGGUAAAAUCCGUAGAGAUCACUAGGAAUACCGAUUGCGAAGGCGAUCUGCUGGGACAUUAUUGACGCUGAGGCAUGAAAGCGUGGGGAGCAAACAGGAUUAGAAACCCUAGUAGUCC
rnacentral:rRNA from 1 species